GAAAUCUGGACAAUCUGAAAUCCUGGAAGCAAAAACACACAAGCAAAUACUUAAAUAAAUAAAUAAGGCACACACACACACACAAAAAAAAAAAAAAAAAAAAAAAUGCAUAAAUAAUUUUUUUUAAAACGUUGUUUUAGCACAGAUGGAACUGGAUUUCACACACUUUAAAAUGUAACUCACAUUAUUAAUAAUCAAUCAAUCAAACAAACAAACAAAAAAGGAAAUAAAUAAAUAGCCUACAUAGAUAAACAGAUUGAUAGAUUGAUUGAAAGACAGACAGACAGAUAGAUAGAUAGAUAGAUAGAUAGAUAGAUAGAUAGACAGACAGACAGUUAGAUAGAUAGAUAGACAGACAGACAGACAGAUAGAUAGACAGACAGACAGACAGACAGACAGAUAGAUAGAUAGAUAGAUAGAUAGAUAGAUAGAUAGAUAGAUAGGUAGACAGACAGACAGACAGACAGACAGACAGACAGACAGACAGAUAGAUAGACAGACAGACAGAUAGAUAGAUAGAUAGAUAGAUAGAUAGAUAGAUAGAUAGAUAGAUAGAUAGAUAGACAGACAGACAGACAGAUAGAUAGACAGACAGACAGACAGACAGAUAGAUAGACAGACAGACAGAUAGAUAGAUAGAUAGACAGACAGAUAGAUAGAUAGACAGACAGACAGACAGAUAGAUAGAUAGAUAGAUAGAUAGAUAGAUAAUAGAUAGAUUGAGAUCACUCAUUUUAUAGUCGCGUUGUCAUUUUUUAUCGCAGCGGCUGUUUGUGUUUCUGCAGCCUGCAAAUGUUCAUUUGUGAAGAGGAGAAAAGGAAAGCAAAAGUUCUAAAAG
ensembl:lncRNA